UCUCAAAAUUGUUUAUAUUUGAUAGUAAUGUUUCCGCGAAUUCAAUAGGUAUUAUUCCACACUCGAAGAAACAAAUGGUAAAGGGGCUUAUAGUUCGGUUUAUAAUCAUUUGCUUAAGUGCUAAAAUGAAAGAGAAAAAUUUGAAAAGGUCAGCUGAAGAUCAAUUAACUAAUGUAGUUAAAAAAGUAAAGAAGGAUUCCAAUUUUAUAACGUUCAAAGAAGCAAAAAAAGUGAUUACAAAUUGGACCUUCAAAGCAAGAGUUACGCAUAAAACCGACAUAAAGAAUUAUGCAAGUGGAAAUUUAUUUAAUUUUGAUUUAAUCGAUUCUUCAGGACAAAUACGUUGCGUCGUUUAUCAUCCAUUAGUAGAACAUUUUUUUGAAAAAGUUGAUGUGAACAAAGUUUAUUUAUUUAGCAACGUUUUAUUGAAAGCAUCAAAUAAGACUUAUAAUCAUUAUGAUAAUCUUUUUGAAUUAAACCUAUACGAAGCUUCAACGAUAACUGAAUGCACAGAUAAUGCAGUUGACAUACCAUUAAAUAAAUAUAAUUUUAUAAAUUUAAUAAAUCUAUCUGAUUGUAAAAGAAAUGAUAUAAUUGAUGUUAUUGGAAUAAUCACUAAUAUUGGGUAAUUGGAAGAAAUUGUUAAUAAAAAGGAGUUAAAUUUAUCAAACGAGAAGUUGAUUUGUCUGACGAAAUAGAAAAUAAAGUAACUCUUAUAUUUUGGAGGUCAGCCGCGAUUGAUUUUAGUAAAGAAUUAAAUUCUAUAUUGAUUAUUAAAGGGGGAAAAAUCAAUGAAUUUAAUAAUACAAUUAAAUUAUCUAUUGUAAAUACAACAAUUGUGACAGAUGAUAUUUCUGAAGUUUCAGAAGGAAAAAGAUUGCAAGAGUAUCUCGAAAAAAAAUGAAUCAACAACGAUAUUUACAAAAAAAUAAAUAGCAAAAUAUUUUGUAUUUAUAUUUUUUAUUUUAUAAAAAAAGUUAAAAUUAUGUACUAUUAUUUUGCAUGAAAUGUAGCAGUUUACUUUAGUAUAAAAAUGUUAUAUUAAUAUAUGUAUACUUUAUAAAAUAAAGAUUUUUGAAAGAACUA